rnacentral:lncRNA from 1 species
AAUUUCUCUUCUCUGACAGUUUUCUUCUUUGUCAAGGUGGCAUAAUAUCUCUCUUUCUGUGCUGAUGAAUUGACCUCCCCGUUUGUUGGUUUUUGGAUGGUGUUUGAUAGAUAUCCACGGUAUUUACAUUUAAAAGCUUUCUUCAUUUUUUUUUAAUUUAUUAAUAUUUUUAUCAAUUUCUAUUCCAAACUUUCAAAUAAUAUCUGAAUGUUUGGUUUAAGUUUGUGCUAUAACAGGAUCCUUAGAUGUGUAUGACUCUCAGGUUCAAUUGUUCUUCAAUUCCCCUCUCUGACAGUUUUCUUUUUUGUCAAGGUGGCAGAAUAUCUCUCUUUCAGUGCUGAUGAAUUGACCCCCCUCUGAUGGUUUUUGGAUGGCGUUUGAUAGACGAUCAUCCACGGUAUUUAUAUUUAAAAACCUUCUUCCUUUUUUUUUAAUUUAUUAAUGUUUUUAUCAAUUUCUAUUCCAAACUUUCAAAUAAUAUCUAAAUGUUUGGUUUAAGUUUGUGCUAUAGCAGGAUCCUUAGAUGUGUAUGACUCUCAGGUUCAAUUGUUCUCCAAUUUCUCCUCUCUG